rnacentral:misc_RNA from 1 species
ACAAGUUUUGUGGGUGGUAAUUGUGAAGUGGCCGAUGUAAGCGUUAGCGCGAGUCGUUUGGCAAGUGUUAACGAGCGUUUGGCAGCUGUAUGCAAAUGAUGUAGUCUACACACAACAACAAUCAUAUA